rnacentral:rRNA from 1 species
CGCGUAGGUGGUUUGUUAAGUUGGAUGUGAAAGCCCCGGGCUUAACCUGGGAACUGCAUCCAAAACUGGCAAGCUAGAGUACGGUAGAGGGUGGUGGAAUUUCCUGUGUAGCGGUGAAAUGCGUAGAUAUAGGAAGGAACACCAGUGGCGAAGGCGACCACCUGGACUGAUACUGACACUGAGGUGCGAAAGCGUGGGGAGGCAAAACA